rnacentral:rRNA from 1 species
UACGGGGGGGGUAAGCGUUGUUCGGAAUUACUGGGCGUAAAGGGCUCGUAGGCGGCCAACUAAGUCGGACGUGAAAUCCCUCAGCUUAACUGGGAACGUGCGUGUGAUACUGGAUGGCUUGGAUUUGGGAGGAGGGAGUGCGGAAUUCCAGGUGUAGCGGUGAAAUGCGUAGAUAUCUGGAGGAACACCAAUGGCGAAGGCAGCUCGCUGGGACGGUACUGACGCUGAGACGCGAAAGCGUGGGGAGCAAACAGG